GGCGAUCAGAUACCGCCCUAGUUCUAACCGUAAACGAUGACAACCAGCGAUUAAUCGGCGUUAAUAUACGACCCGAUUAGCAGCUUCCGGGAAACCAAAGUUUUUCGUUUCCGGGGGAAGUAUGGUUGCAAAGCUGAAACUUAAAGGAAUUGACGGAAGGGCACCACCAGGAGUGGAGCCUGCGGCUUAAUUUGACUCAACACGGGAAAACUCACCCGGCCCGGACACUGUAAGGAUUGACAGACUGAGAGCUCUUUCUUAAUUCAGUGGGUGGUGGUGCAUGGCCGUUCUUAGUUGGUGGAGCGAUUUGUCUGGUUAAUUCCGAUAACGAACGAGACUCUGGCCUAUUAAAUAGACGAGGUAUUUACACGUAUCUCGCGCUUCUUAGAGGGACAAGCGGCGUCUAGUCGCAUGAAAAAGAGCAAUAACAGGUCUGUGAUGCCCUUAGAUGUCCGGGGCUGCACGCGCGCUACACUGAAAGAAUCAGCGUGCAUUUAAACCUAGUCCGGAAGGACCGGGUAACCCAAGAAAAUUCUUUCGUGCUUGGGAUAGGGAAUUGCAAUUAUUUCCCUUAAACGAGGAAUUCCCAGUAAAUGCGGGUCAUAAGCUCGCGUUGAUUACGUCCCUGCCCUUUGUA
rnacentral:rRNA from 1 species